AUUGAACGCUGGCGGCAUGCCUAACACAUGCAAGUCGAACGGCAGCAUGAUCUCGCUUGCUAGAUUGAUGGCGAGUGGCGGACGGGUGAUUAAUAAACCGCAUCGUGCCCUGUAGUGGGGGAUAACUAGUCGAAAGAUUAGCUAAUACCGCAUACGACCUGAGGGUGAAAGUUGGGUACCGCAAGGCCUCAUGCUAUAUGGAUGGCCGAUGUCCGAUUUGCUAGGUUGUGGGGUAAAGGCUCACCAAGGCGUCUAUCAGUAGCUGGUCUGAGAGGACGGUCAGCCACACUGGGACGGAGACGCGGCCCAGACUAGUACGGUAGGCAGCAGUGGGGUAUUUUAGACAAUGCGCGGAAGCCUAAUCCAGCAAUGCCGCGUGUGUGAAGAAGGCCUUCGGGUUGUAAAGCACAGUUGUCCGGAAAGAAAUGACUCUGGUUAAUACCUGGGGUAGAUGACGGUACCGGAAGAGUAAGCACCGGCUAACUACGUG
rnacentral:rRNA from 1 species